rnacentral:rRNA from 1 species
GAUUAACGCUAGCGGCAGGCCUAAUACAUGCAAGUCGAACGGCAGCACGGGUAGCAAUACCUGGUGGCGAGUGGCGCACGGGUGCGUAACGCGUAUGCAAUCUACCUAUAACUGGGGAAUAGCCUUCCGAAAGGAAGAUUAAAACCGCAUAAUAUCACGAAGCGGCAUCGUUUUGUGAUCAAAUCUCCGGAGGUUAUAGAUGAGCAUGCGUGACAUAGCUAGUUGGUGAGGUAACGGCUCACCAAGGCUACGAUGUCUAGGGGGUC